AAUCAUGGGUGGAGGAUAUGUAGAUGAAUCCCAGUUCGCCCACUACACAGGGAUCAAGAAGUGGUUCAAUGCGGACACAACAUUCGGCAAGAGGAAUUGUGUAGUUGCCACAUAUGCGGCCACCUUUUUCCUUGUAUGGUAUGUCAGGAGAAGGAUGAACAAGAACAAGGCUAUAGCAUCAGCUGCAGCAGGGGAUAUCAGCAAAUAGAAAGUGCAGCGGAUUUAAGGUGCAUGUAUCAUAGAAUGGACUGUACAUCCCCAUUGGAUAUAUAAUAGGAUAAAUAUAUUGUUGAUUGAGUGAACUUUGACCUUCUCCACUGUCUCAUACCGCUGACCUAAAGACGAUCACCCCACGAUCAUCCCCAAAGAUGUCUUCACCUCGGACACUCUGUUUUGACGCCCUCUUGUGACUACAGCAUGGCAUGCCCGGCUCUCCACACACCUCAGUCCUACAUUUGCCUCAUGGGAUACAUUUUCAUGGAUAUGAUCAGGCCACCAUGACAAUUCUGUCAAGGAAAGAGCAAGGUGGAAUAUGUAUUACCCGGUAGUCAUUUUGGCACAUGUACAUGUUCAAUGUAAACAAAAACACUAAAAAAUUAAUGGAUAUAAUCACAAAUACAUGCAAGGAUUUGAUGAUCAUUUGUUGACCGAUUGUACAAUAGGGGUAUAUGCCAUGGCACAAUGCCUGUUAACAAAUGUGAUGGCAUGGUUCUCACUGAGUUGAGCUUACAUAUUCGUAAUAUUGAAAAAAAGAAGGAAAUUUUAUCACUACCACAUGUAUUUGAAGAAUUUUAGAUAUCACCCUCCACAUACAUUUAAAAAGAAAAUUAACAAAUAAGUGUAUUUUGUAUUCUGUUUGCUCUUUUCAAAUGUGUAUUGGAGUUUGUUGAAAACUGAAGAAAAAAAAUGCUAUUUGAAUACUGAAAA